rnacentral:rRNA from 1 species
AGGACGAACGCUGGCGGCGUGCCUAACACAUGCAAGUCGAACGGACGAGGGGAGCUUGCUCCCCAAGUUAGUGGCGGACGGGUGAGUAACACGUGAGCAACCUGCCCUUCGGAGGGGGACAACAGCUGGAAACGGCUGCUAAUACCGCGUGACACAGCGGGGAGGCAUCUCUCUGCUGUCAAAGAUUUAUCGCCGAAGGAUGGGCUCGCGUCUGAUUAGAUAGUUGGUGAGGUAACGGCCCACCAAGUCUACGAUCAGUAGCCGGACUGAGAGGUUGAACGGCCACAUUGGGACUGAGAUACGGCCCAGACUCCUACGGGAGGCAGCAGUGGGGAAUAUUGGGCAAAAUGGGGGCAACCCUGACCCAGCAACGCCGCGUGAAGGAAGAAGGCUUUCGGGUUGUAAACUUCUUUGACGAGGGACGAUAGUGACGGUACCUCGAAAACAAGCCGCGGCUAACUACGUGCCAGCCGCCGC